UACGUAGGGGGCAAGCGUUGUCCGGAUUUAUUGGGCGUAAAGAGCGUGUAGGCGGCCAGACAGGUCAGCUGUGAAAACUCGAGGCUCAACCUCGAGACGUCGGUUGAAACCGUCUGGCUAGAGUCCGGAAGAGGAGAGUGGAAUUCCCGGUGUAGCGGUGAAAUGCGCAGAUAUCGGGAAGAACACCCGUGGCGAAGGCGGCUCUCUGGGACGGUACUGACGCAUGAGACGGCGAAAGCGUGGGGAGCGAACAGG
rnacentral:rRNA from 1 species